rnacentral:rRNA from 1 species
CACGUAGGGCGCAAGCGUUGUCCGGAAUUAUUGGGCGUAAAGAGCUCGUAGGCGGUCUGCUACGUCCGCUGUGAAAACCUAGGGCUUAACCCUGGGCUUGCAGUAGAUACGGGCAGACUAGAGGUAGGUAGGGGAGAAUGGAAUUCCCGGUGUAGCGGUGAAAUGCGCAGAUAUCGGGAGGAACACCGGUGGCGAAGGCGGUCUGCUGGGCAGUUGCUGACACUGAUGCGCGACAGCGUGGGGAGCAAACAGG